rnacentral:rRNA from 1 species
AGCGGUGACAUGUGGUUUAUUCGAUGCACGCGAAGAACCUUACCUACUCUUGACAUCCAGAGAACUUAGCAGAGAUGCUUUGGUGCCUUCGGGAACUCUGAGACAGGUGCUGCAUGGCUGUCGUCAGCUCGUGUUGUGAAAUGUUGGGUUAAGUCCCGCAACGAGCGCAACCCUUAUCCUUUGUUGCCAGCGGUUCGGCCGGGAACUCAAAGGAGACUGCCAGUGAUAAACUGGAGGAAGGUGGGGAUGACGUCAAGUCAUCAUGGCCCUUACGAGUAGGGCUACACACGUGCUACAAUGGCAUAUACAAAGAGAAGCGACCUCGCGAGAGCAAGCGGACCUCAUAAAGUAUGUCGUAGUCCGGAUUGGAGUCUGCAACUCGACUCCAUGAAGUCGGAAUCGCUAGUAAUCGUGGAUCAGAAUGCCACGGUGAAUACGUUCCCGGGCCUUGUACACACCGCCCGU